CCUCAUCUGCCACCCUGAUAUCCUCUCAACCCCUUCUCCCUCUCUCAAGAACCCUAGCCGCCGCCCCUAAAUCUUCUCCUAAUCCCACCUAAUAUGGGAUUCCAUGGCUAUUACUUACCAUACUCGACCCCCUUCUGGUACUGGCUACUCUCCUAUAGUGCUUGCCUAAACAUGGCAAGCAAAUCUCAUCAAAAUCGAACCAAAAUUAGUUCAAAUCCCUAAUUUUUGAAUGUUAUUCCGUCUAUGUUCAUCUUAUGCUACUGUGAGUCCAAAUAUUUCUUUAUAUUCUGUUGAUUCUUACUUACCCUAAAACUAGGGUUUUCAUAUUUCCUUAAAUCGGACCAAAAUUAGUUCGAUUCUCUGAUUUUUAGCGCUAUUUGUGUCUAUAUUCAUCCUAUGUUAUUAUUUUUGUGUAUAUUCUGGUAAUAUUUGUUUUCCUAAAAACUAGGGUUUGCUUGACUUCUCCUAAAUUGAUUCUGAAUCAGUUCCGCAUUCCAUUCUUUCCUUUUUCUUUAAGAUUGAUUGAUUGUUUUUCCUUGUUUGUGUGUUUAAUUUUGCUAUUAUAAAAACCCACCCCCUUCCCCUUUCUGGAUAGAACUUUAAUCAAUGUUCUCUCACUAAAAGUUGAAGUUUUCUACUCUAUACUUGUUUACUAUUCUAUUAUGUUUGGCUCUUGGCCGGCUGAAAGCCAAGGCCACCGGACUUCUACUUUUUCUGACAUCUCUUGGGUGUGAGCAUUGCUUGGGUUCUUGAGACCCUUGGAACUUAACACAUUCAGGACUCUGGGUCUUUACUGCAAUCCUUUUCUUGUUUAUUGAACAAUCACUGGUUAGUUUCUAAAUCCUUGCAAUGUUUACUCUAUUAUGUUAAGCAUGUUCUUUGAAACUGCAUGAUUUAAUGUAUUUCUUUGACUCUUUUCUGCCUAAUUCUGCCUAUGAUUGUUAGCCUAAUAAUGUCUCUGCACCUAGCUUAGUUAGUUUGGAAAGAAUGAAGCAUGCUUUGUUUAGUAUUGUUGAUAAUUCAAAUGUUUUAUUUUGACUAUAUGGUCUAAUCCAUGUUUCUCUGCCUGAUUCUGAACUUCUAAUGGCCAAUUGAUGUUAUUAACCUGCACCCAUUUUGUUUAAGACCUUACUCCGAAUGUUGUAUACUCUUAUGACUAUUUUUGCCACUAUAUGUGUUCUUGCCAUGACGAAUCCGUACCCCUAAUGACUUGUGAUCUUUUAAAACUAAUCUCCUUUGAUUAAUACUCAUUUAGGAAACAUGCCUAUAGGAUCAAACUGGGUAAUUCUGAGUAUUUUAAAUAGUUAUCACUGCCAACUACUGCGCAAAUCACCUAGAAAUCAUGUCUAUAGGUUUAACAACUUGUAAUCUGUAAUUUCAACAAUCAACUCGCAAUACCAGAUUCCCUAAAAUGUAUAGUUGUUCGAAAAUCGCGUCUAUAAAAGUAGCAUCUUGCAUCUGAAACUGCCCGCAUGUUUGAAAUCCAGGUCACAUAGAAAUCAUGUCUAUAGGGCCUAAUAACUUUAAUUUGCCUCAAUCCUGAAAUUGUCUAACGUUUAAUGUGAAAAUUUGUUCGCGUGCAUUUGUUGUCUAAGUGUGGAGGCUAAGUUGAGCCCUUAAUUGCAUUUAUAUGAAGUCCAACUUGUUUUUUAUUUCGUCUAGUUUUAUCAUUUCUGAGCAGCCUAAGCUAAGUCUAGAAACCAUCCAAAAUAGAGGUCCAAAUGCCUCCUGGGCCAUAGGCAUGGGACGGGUAGUGCACGCAUAGGGCACAGUUUAGAAUCAACUAGUGCGCUUUAGGUAAAAACUUAAAGAUAGUAAUCGAGUAGCAGGAGAUGAUAGUGUGUGUCUGCUGAAUAAUACGAGUAUCACCCCACCUCGAGAGAGUUACGAAGUAUUAUUUAUGUUGCACGAGGCGAUCCAUUAGGCUAAAACACUUAGGACCCCCCAUCUUGUCUUUAAACCAAUUAUCUGUGUUUACUCAAGGACUUUCUAAUAAUGAUUUUUUUUCAAACUUCUUCUUUUUCUCUCUGACUAUUUGACUAAUUCAUAUAAUUCAAGUUCGGUCGGGACCCAUAGUUGUGGACCUCGAAGAGUGCCUAACACCUUCUCUUCGAGCUAAUUUGAGCCCUUACCCGAUCUUUGGUGACGCAAACUAGUUAAACAAGAGUUAUUUACAAAUAGGUGCCCUAACGCACCUCAAACCCGUUAUGUGGCGACUCUCUCUUUUAACACCUUUCUUUAAAGGAGUUAUCACGUGUCGAAAUCCGAUUUCGCGAGAAAAUGGGGGGCAACAACCACGAGUAUCAUGUCUGGAUCAGAUUGUACACCGCAACGGUAUCAUGUAUGAAUCGGGUUGCACGCCUCAACAGUGAGAUGUUAAGUACAAAUCCUUAUACUUAUUUUGUGUGCCUUGUUUUCAUCUCUGAUAGAUACAUAGCAUCUGUUUGGCUAUUUUAUUCAUUACGUGGGCUGGGUAGUUCUUUGCCAGAGUUCAUUCUUCCAUAUGGGUCAUAUUUGAGUUGUUCCUCGUUUGCGCAUUGAUGGCAUCAUAUGAGAUUUUAGACGGUAUUUGAGAUGGCUUAUUGUCGAGUAGCUUGUACUGGGUGAGACGAAGUUAUUGGACCUGAAAUCAGUGCGAUCAGGUUUAUGUAAGGUAUAUUAAAGAGAAAAUAUCACUAUUAAGUUCUGAUUGAGGUAAUGGUUCUUGUUAAGCGGAGAGACUCCAUAAAUUAUUGAAUGGAAAUGGUUAUGAGCUUCAACAUGUCGUUUUUAUCAUUGAAGUAUCGCAAAGGUUGGAUGAGGGCUUAUGCACAUAUGAGGUAUACUACGGGCAUCACGUUAGUGAAUUUGCAGCUUCUACAGUUGGAGAAUGUUAUUAUGGGCAUACGAAUUAUGCGGUGCAUUAUGUGGUUUCAUCAUGGGUGCAUAAUCAUAUUUGGUACAGCGAGUUGAGAUUGAUACGGUGUUCGUUUGUUAGAAUCUGGUCUCGUAGAGAAUUUCGAAUGUUGGAAUUUUGUUCUAAGGCUUGUGGUCUAAGGUAGCAAGAAGGAUUCUCAGUCUGACUCGAGCUAGUGUGCUCAUGUGGGUUGUGGUGGCAUGGGUAGGUGCACGAGGUGUUAAACAGUGAUUUUGGGCAACUCCGUAACAGUUCUUAGCACGUUCGAGGACGAACGUAUGCUUAAGUAGGGGAGAAUGUAAUGACCCGACCGGUCAUUUUAAGCUCUAGUGCGUCGUUCAGUGGUUUGAGGCCUUGAGUAGCUUCACUUCAUGUGCUUAUGACUUGUAAGCGUAGUCGGAAUUGAAUUUCGGGAAGUUCGGAGUUGAUUCGAAUGGAAAAUUCUCAAUUUGGAAGCUUUAAGUUGGAAAAGUUGACCAAGGGUUAACGUUUGAGUAAACGACCUUAAAAUCGGGAUUUUAAGGUUCCAAUAGGUUCGUAUGAUGAUUUCGGUCUUGGGUGUAUGCUCGGGUUGAGUAUCGGGUGGUCGGGGAGCAUUUCGGCGCUUAUUGUGGAAAGUUGGAAUUUUGAAGGUUUUAGAAUUUUCUAAGUUUGAUUUGAAGUGGGCUUUGAUGUUAUUAAUGUUCGUUUUGGAUUCCGAGCCUUGGAAUAGGUUCGUAUUGUGAUUUGUGACUUAUACGUGAAGUUUGGCGUCAUUCCGGAAUAUUUAGAUAUAAUUCGAUCACGUUAGACGAAGUUUGAAUGUUAGGAAGUUAAAAGAAGGAUCUUGAUCGUCGAUUCGUAGUUUGGAUAUUUUUUAGGGUAAUUUGAGGUCUCGAUCAGGUUCGUGUCAUGUUUCGGGACUGGUUGGUGUGGUUGGACGAGAUCCUGGUGGCCUCGGGUGUGAUUCGGGGUGGUUUCGGACCAUGUUUGGGUGAUUUGUUGGUGCUGGUGUCUGGAUUUGUUCUUCGCGAACACGAAGGGAUGCACGCGCUCACGAAGAAGGAUUUUUUAUUGCUGGGUAUUUGUUCAUCGUGAACGCGGCACUGGGGUCAAACGCGGAGAAGAAGCUGAGGUUACUAUCGCGAACGUGACAGGGAGUCGCGAACGCAUAGAAAGAUGGUGAGCUGGGGGCCUGGAAGCAUUAAGCCUUCGCAAACAUGGAGCAGUGACCGCGAACGCAAAGCGUCAGGACCUGGAGGCAUCGCGAACGCGACUGGUGUACGCGAACGUGAAGGAGGAUUUUUGGACAACUAAUAUUUUUGACCUUCGCGAUCGGGAGGGUUUUUUCUGCGAUCGCGAACGCGCUGAAGAAGUUGAGGUUCCCUUCCCAAACACGACAGGGAGUCAUGAACACGUAGAAAGAUGGUGAGCUGGGGGCCCGGAGGUGUUAAGCCUUCGCGAAUGCGAAGCAGUGAUCAUGAACGGGAAGCAUCAGGACCUGGAGGCAUCACGAACGCGACGUGGUGGACGCAAAUGCGAACGCGAUAUGGUGGACGCGAACAUGAAGGAGGAUUUUUAGACUACUGAUUUUUUGGACUUCGCGAUCGCGAAGGUUUUUCCGCGAUCGCGGAGAAGUAGGACCUGGGCAGACUUGUUUUUAAAUCGAGACUUAGCUCUUAUUUCUCUCAUUUUGCACUUGGAUGGACAAAUUUGGGGAGCUAUUUUGAGGAGAUUUUCAUCAAGAAACACAAGGUAAGUGAUUCGCACUUGUUGUAAGUUAAAUAUUUGAAUUAUGUUUGGAUUUAAACAUGGAAUUUUGAAGAAAUUGCGAAAUCUUGAAGAAAAACCUAGAAUUUGAUGUUUUUGGAUUUUAACCACGAAAUUGGACAUGGAAUUAGGGAUAAAUUAUAUAUUUGAGUUCGUGAUAUUAUGGGUAAUGUUAAUCUUCGAAAAGUUUCGGAAUCCGAGCACGUAGGCUCGAGGGUUGACUUUGUUGACUUUUUGAGCGGAGUUUGGAAUUGUUAUAAAUUAUUAAAUUAUAAGCAUUUGUAGUAUAUUUUGAUUGAUUUGCACGUUGAUUGACUAGUUUCGGGUUGACGGGCAUUGGUUCGAGGUGUCGGAGGAGCGUUGGAGCCGGUUAUGGAACUUCGGAGCGAGGUAAGACUCCUGUCUAACUUUGUGAGGGGGAAACUACCCCCUAGGUGAUGUACUUUUUAUGUGCUACUUGUUGUGGGGACUACGUACGCACUAGGUUACGAGAGUCCGUACGUAGCUAGAUUCAUAUUUAUGUCUGGGUAGACCUAGGACUUUACUAUGCAAUAAAUUGUAUUACUUGAAUUUGAUUGUUAGCUUAAUUAUUUGAAGACUAUAAGUAAAAUAUGAUAAAGAUCAUGUUAGAUCGAAUUUCCUUUCCCUGAGCUAUUUGGAAGGAUAAUCGAUUGAUGGUAAAUAUCAUGUUUACGUUAUGUCUCUGACCCUGUAUAGUAAAUACGAGAUUCAUAAGUCGAUAAGUUUCUUCUCUUCCUAGGGAUCAGGCCGAACGCCUCGGCAGUUUAUGUAUAUAUGAGAUGCAUCUGUGGAUUAGGCUGUACGAACUCGACAGUGAAUGUAUACAACUAUAUGGAUCAGGUCGAACGACCUCAGCAUAAUUCGUGCGUAAAAUCGCUAGGAGUCCGAAUACCCACGGGAUUACCCUCUUAAUUUAACUUGAAAAUUACGUAAUAUUCUAUUUAUGAUCUGAGAUCGAAUAUCUAAUUGAUGGUUCCUAUUUGUUGAGUUAGCAUGUGGAAACUUGGGGAUAUUUAAAAUGAUAAUAUUUGUUAACGGAUUUCGUUAUCUACUGUUCCUUAUUCUAUUGAUCCUGUGGUAUUUCAUGUCCGCUUAUGAUUCUUGCAUUUUAUUUAUUGGACCACUAGUAAGUUUCGAUGUCAACCCCCCGUCACUACUUUUUUGGUGUUAGACUAGAUACUUGUUGGGUACAUGUUGAUAUACGUACUCACGCUACACUUCUGCACUGAAUGUGCAGGAUCUGACAGGUUCACUUGGUGGCCAUCCUGGUGCAUACGCACAACUGCUGAGUGGAGUUUUUGGUGAGAUGUUUCCUAUGCUAUGCAUCGCAUCCCUCGGAGUCUCCAUCUUAUUUAUUUACAUUAUCUUGUCUAUUGUAUUUUCCAUAUAGUUGUUGUAUUAUUAAUGCACUCUUUAUGCACUUGUGACAUCGGAUUUUGGGAUGUUCUAGAAUUUGUUUAUGGUAUUGCUUAACAUUGACACACUUUUACUUUAUAUUUU
rnacentral:lncRNA from 1 species